rnacentral:rRNA from 1 species
AUUUUCCUGUGUGAAUAACCUCUCGAAAGAGAGGCUAAUACCGCAUACGACCUACGGGUGAAAGAGGGGGAUCGCAAGACCUCUCACUAUUGGAGCGGCCGAUGUCGGAUUAGCUAGUUGGCGGGGUAACGGCCCACCAAGGCGACGAUCCGUAGCUGGUCUGAGAGGACGGCCAGCCACACUGGAACUGAGACACGGUCCAGACUCCUACGGGAGGCAGCAGUGGGGAAUUUUGGACAAUGGGCGCAAGCCUGAUCCAGCCAUGCCGCGUGAGUGAAGAAGGCCUUCGGGUUGUAAAGCUCUUUCGGCGGGGACGAAACGGUCCGUGUUAACACCGCGGACUUCUGACGGUACCCGCAGAAGAAGCACCGGCUAACUACGUGCCAGCAGCCGCGGUAAUACGUAGGGUGCAGGCGUUAAUCGGAAUUACUGGGCGUAAAGCGUGCGCAGGCGGUCUCUUAAGACAGGUGUGAAAUCCCCGGGCUUAACCUGGGAACUGCGCUUGUAACUGAGAGGCUUGAGUGUGCCAGAGGGGGGUGGAAUUCCACGUGUAGCAGUGAAAUGCGUAGAGAUGUGGAGGAACACCGAUGGCGAAGGCAGCCCCCUGGGGUAACACUGACGCUCAUGCACGAAAGCGUGGGGAGCAAACAGGAUUAGAUACCCUGGUAGUCCACGCCCUAAACUAUGUCAACUGGGUUGUCGGGGAAGCAAUUCCUUGGUAACGAAGCUAACGCGUGAAGUUGAC